rnacentral:rRNA from 1 species
CCUACGGGGGGCAGCAGUGGGGGAUAUUGCACAAUGGGGGGAACCCUGAUGCAGCGACGCCGCGUGGGUGAAGAAGCGCCUCGGCGCGUAAAGCCCUGUCAGCAGGGAAGAAAAUGACGGUACCUGAAGAAGAAGCCCCGGUCAACUACGUGCCAGCAGCCGCGGGAAUACGUAGGGGGCAAGCGUUAUCCGGAUUUAAUGGGUGUAAAGGGGGCGCAGACGGCGAUGCAAGCAAGGAGUGAAAGCCCGGGGCCCAACCCCGGGACUGCUCUUGGAACUGGGUGGCUGGAGUGCAGGAGGGGCAGGCGGAAUUCCUGGUGUAGCGGUGAAAUGCGGAGAUAUCAGGAGGAACACCGGUGGCGAAGGCGGCCUGCUGGACUGCAACUGACGUUGAGGCCCGAAAGCGUGGGGAGCAAACAGGAUUAGAUACCCCUGUAGUC